AUGUGAGAGAAAGACGGAAAUAGCCCUGAAUGAGAAAGAACAGCACAAGGGAUUGAUUUCUGUCUGUAAAAACUUUUGAGGAACAUGUUUAUUUCCUAGUCAACCAAGGUAUUCCAACAAAACAAUAUUUGCUGAUUACAAAUCUAAGCUGGACCAAAAAACUCAUACAGGUAUAUGCAGUAUGAAUCAAUCGUGUAAAUCCACAUCCACGCAAUUACAAAACUGGACAGCCUUUAACUACAGUUCCUGGUUCAGUUGGGCAAGAAGCCAGUGGACAUCCAUCAGAUUGCAUUUUCAACCAGUUGAGGCUAAUAUGCUCCAUCCCCAAGCACAAGUACAACAGUACUCCCAUGAAGGCCAAUCCAGCAUCGAGUGCCCCAGAUAGCACGUAAUUGUGGCGACUCCACCAAUCACGAUAAUACCUGUAAGCAAUGAAGCCCGAAGCAAAUCCAAUUAGAAUCCAGCUGGUGUAGUUGACUGCUGUGGCCGGGGGCAUGUUCACUGUAGCUCCUAAGAGCACAGGCAUAGUUAUAUGUCUUAUCCAAGGCCUGUUGGGGAAGGCUUUGUGUGCUAUCCAUACUAAGACAGGAGCUACAGCCCCAGCGAAGAAAAACCAGUUGACACUAGAGUAGUAGCCGAGGUCUCCGAAAAUCCUGCGAGGGCCAAUGAGACCCCAGAUGAUGGAGGCAUCGUAGAAUACAUGGUCUCCAGGACAAGUCCAUGGGCUGCCUGAUGGAAGCAUUUCCCUGUCACAUAUGUCUGGGAUGGUAUUCAUCAACCACCAUGCCGUUCCUAAAUGUGCCAAUGCUGAUAUAAUAGUACCAAAUACUGACAGUAAUCAUCAUAUUGCAAACAUAUAAAAUUACUUACAAUAGCGAAGGUUCUACAAUCAAAGGCAACAAGGGCAUCACACUCAAUGCUAGAGCUUCUUUUACAAUAGCUAUCAUUUUUCAGAAACAAAAAAUAUUAAAACUUCAAAAUGGAAAAUGCCUAAUCUAACUAACAUUCAAACUAAUGUUCAACCUCACUAACAGUUGGAGAAAACGAACUCACGUGAGAAAAAGUUUGGGAGAGCCAGCGACGGGUAACGUGUAACACACGCGCGCAUCUCUAGAGUUGGAAAUUUUCUCGAUUAAUUGGCAGGGAAUCAAGUUGAAGCCUUGUGUGGUCUUACGAGAUAUGCGGUUCAUAACGCCAAUUUGAGACUGCUCAUCUGAGGAUUAAGACUAAAAAUUAUAACCUAAUCACAAUCAUAAUCAUAUUCAAAGUUUUAACUGAAAACGGUAAUGCCGACGAUCAGAGAAGGAAAAUAUACCUGAGUUUUGCGGAGAGGAACGACGUAGAAGAGCUUGACGAAGGAUUUUCCACCUCAAAGACGCUGGUCUUAGCGUCGUUUUGGUGUUAUCGGUUUCCAUAGCGCUAUUCUUCUUCGAAAUCAGCUGCUGCUGGGACUGGGAUAUUUGAGUAAGGAUAUUUGAGUAAAUUGUCCAAACAGGGUGGGAGUUUGGAUAAACGAAAUGCCAAACGUAAAUAUAGUUAGGAUUGUAACACAAAAAUGAUGUGAGAGAAAGACGGAAAUAGCCCUGAAUGAGAAAGAACAGCACAAGGGAUUGAUUUCUGUCUGUAAAAACUUUUGAGGAACAUGUUUAUUUCCUAGUCAACCAAGGUAUUCCAACAAAACAAUAUUUGCUGAUUACAAAUCUAAGCUGGACCAAAAAACUCAUACAGGUAUAUGCAGUAUGAAUCAAUCGUGUAAAUCCACAUCCACGCAAUUACAAAACUGGACAGCCUUUAACUACAGUUCCUGGUUCAGUUGGGCAAGAAGCCAGUGGACAUCCAUCAGAUUGCAUUUUCAACCAGUUGAGGCUAAUAUGCUCCAUCCCCAAGCACAAGUACAACAGUACUCCCAUGAAGGCCAAUCCAGCAUCGAGUGCCCCAGAUAGCACGUAAUUGUGGCGACUCCACCAAUCACGAUAAUACCUGUAAGCAAUGAAGCCCGAAGCAAAUCCAAUUAGAAUCCAGCUGGUGUAGUUGACUGCUGUGGCCGGGGGCAUGUUCACUGUAGCUCCUAAGAGCACAGGCAUAGUUAUAUGUCUUAUCCAAGGCCUGUUGGGGAAGGCUUUGUGUGCUAUCCAUACUAAGACAGGAGCUACAGCCCCAGCGAAGAAAAACCAGUUGACACUAGAGUAGUAGCCGAGGUCUCCGAAAAUCCUGCGAGGGCCAAUGAGACCCCAGAUGAUGGAGGCAUCGUAGAAUACAUGGUCUCCAGGACAAGUCCAUGGGCUGCCUGAUGGAAGCAUUUCCCUGUCACAUAUGUCUGGGAUGGUAUUCAUCAACCACCAUGCCG
rnacentral:lncRNA from 1 species